AUACCCUAUUAUUUUAAAUGUAAAUUUUUAACCUGAGUAAUAUUAGCUAUGGUCUUUAAACUUAAAGAAUUUGGCGGUAUUAUAGUCUAUUUAGGGGAAUCUGUUAUGUAAUUGAUAUUCCACGUUGAAUCUUACUUUAAAAAUUUCUUGUAUAUCGCUGUUUAUGAAUAUAUUUUUAGAUUUAUUUUCUUAAUUGUUAAUUAUUGAAUAUUUCAAGUCAAGGUGCAGUUAUUUUGGAGUUGAAUAAUGGAUUACAAUAAAAAUUAUUUAUAUGAAUUGUUUAUUAGAUCUAAAUAUGAAGGUGGACUUGAAUGU
rnacentral:rRNA from 1 species